rnacentral:lncRNA from 1 species
GCAUCUGUUGUGUGGGUGUUGAAGGCUGCAUGGAAAGUCCAUGUAGUUGAGAGAGUAAAUUAGGAUCAGCAGAUGCUAAUAGGUCAUCAAGGUUAGUUGGAUUCAAAUCAGCAAUUCUGUUGAAUUCGUUGUUCCGGAAAGAAGGGGAAGAGAUUCUAGCAAUCUCUUCAAUCAAUUGUUGUUGUUGAAGCUGUUGUUGUUGACGACGAGGACUGUCAAGACCGAGCAGUUCCAUCUCAAGAUCCAUAUCCCUGGCACUCAAAGCACUCUUCAACCGGCUACCUUGUAGCUGCAAUGAUGGUGGAGUGAGGUUUAUUUUGUUCUGCCACAAGUUUCCACUCUUGGGAGAUGAUGAACCUGCCAAGGGAGACAUGGGCGGUGUUGAAACGGUUGACAUAGGCAAAGAUGAGGAGCUAAGAGACAACGGACUCAUCGAUGUCAUG